rnacentral:rRNA from 1 species
UAGGGAAUCUUCCACAAUGGACGAAAGUCUGAUGGAGCAACGCCGCGUGAGUGAAGAAGGGUUUCGGCUCGUAAAACUCUGUUAUUGGAGAAGAAGGAUGAGGUAAGUAACUGUACUUCAUUUGACGGUACCCAACCAGAAAGUCACGGCUAACUACGUGCCAGCAGCCGCGGUAAUACGUAGGUGGCGAGCGUUAUCCGGAAUUAUUGGGCGUAAAGCGAGUGCAGGCGGUUGUAUAAGUCUGAUGUGAAAGCCCUCGGCUCAACCGAGGAAUUGCAUCAGAAACUGUAUAACUUGAGUGCAGAAGAGGAGAGUGGAACUCCAUGUGUAGCGGUGGAAUGCGUAGAUAUAUGGAAGAACACCAGUGGCGAAGGCGGCUCUCUGGUCUGUAACUGACGCUGAGGCUCGAAAGCAUGGGUAGCGAACAGG